ensembl:snRNA U6 U6 spliceosomal RNA
GUGUUUGCCUCAGCAGCACAUGUACUAGAAUUGGAACAAUACAGAGAAGAUUAGCAUCGCCCCUGCGUAAGGAUGACUUGCCGAUUUGUGAAGCAUUCCGUAUUUUU